rnacentral:rRNA from 1 species
UACGUAGGGUGCAAGCGUUGUCCGGAAUUAUUGGGCGUAAAGAGCGUGUAGGCGGCCCGGUAAGUCCGCUGUGAAAGUCCAGGGCUCAACCCUGGAAUGCCGGUGGAUACUGUCGGGCUAGAGUCCGGAAGAGGCGAGUGGAAUUCCUGGUGUAGCGGUGAAAUGCGCAGAUAUCAGGAGGAACACCGAUAGCGAAGGCAGCUCGCUGGGACGGUACUGACGCUGAGACGCGAAAGCGUGGGGAGCAAACAGG